CUCGAACUCACAGAGAUCCAUGCUGUCCCUUUAUGCUGGGAGGCUACUUUACGUUCUCUUUAUCCUACACACACCCCAAAUACCACUUUCAAGAGCUUUUUUCUCGAAUGCCCACCAAUCUAAGUCUAACUAGCCUCGGAUUCUGUCUGUAGUCCCUAUCACAAUUAUAAUUGAAGUAUAUGUUGUGAUGCUGUUUUUCCAUUUAUGUUGGGGAUUGAUAUUAUGUAAUUAAAAAUGUUUUCCUCAUUAGAUCCGGACCACUACUGAUGCCAAAGCUAUUUCUUCCCUUCUUCCUCUAGUGUGGCCCAGUACUUCAUAAAAUGAGUGGCAUCUGGCAGAUGCUGGAACACAUUCAUGAGGGAAGGAAAUCACACAUGCCACUCCUGGCCAGCUUCUUCCUUCUAACAACAUCUACCGAGACAGUGCCACACAACCAGUCUAGUCCCCCAAGGCCCAUGCUGCCUGCUUUAGUGACCUACUACCGAAAUGUUAAAAUUACUAAUAACUUUUAUUGGAUUUAUGGCUUGUAAAUGGCAUCCAGUGAGAGAAUGGAGCAGGAACGUGAGCAGAGGAGACGCCGCACACUGUCUCUCACAAAUGCAUUUUUGAUUGUGGUCAUUAUGCCCUAUGAACGCAGCACUGAUAGACUUCAGUGAAAGGGAGAUCAGCGCCCCCUGAAGCCAGAAGCAGGUCACCGUCUGUUACCGGUACAGCUGAACCAAUGAAGGACGGACAGCCUGAGGAGUUCCCGCUUUCCAUAGAACCUGUUCCCUCCACACACAGAAGAGUGAAAUGAGAUGAUUCCAGAAAGAGGAGGACUCUGCACCUCCAGGUUCUGCUCUCAGUUACUCACUCUCUCAAGAACCCUUAUGAAGGGCCUGCACGGUACCCAGGCAGUAUACUGCUACUAAAAUGAUGAAUAAUCAAUCCAUGAACCCGUCCCUCUGGCGACCAAAGCCCAGUGAGGAGGCAGGCACACGCCACACAGUGAGGUCUCUACUCUGAGAAGAAAACAGUGUGCUUGAGUAUCUGGACCAAAGGACGGUGUCGCCUUUGGAGGUGGAUGGGAGAGGAGUAACACCCUGCUGGUGAAAGAGGCUUCACUGUGACACUUACUGGGUGGAACCAAGUAAUGGCUUUGGGAUGCAUUAGCAAGUCCCUUUACCAUCUAGCCACGUGAGAUAAGGUAGUUUCUAAGCAAAAGUAGUUAGAAGGAUUAUAUUCACAUUAUUAUAAAAGUUGUAUUUAUUUGGUGUGUAGAAAUGUAUGUGAAUGCACAUCUGCCAUGACUAGCACGUGUGUGAAGUUGGGAGUCACUUCUCUCCUUAUACCAUGUGGGUCCCAGGGAUUGACCUCAGUCAUCAGACUUGGCAAGUGCCUUUAUCCACUGAGCCAUCUUGCUGGCCCUGGCCUCCAGCUCUCUCGUAGUCAAGGACGGCUUUGAACUCUUCUGCUGCUUUCUCCCAGAGGCCGAGAGGACAGGCAUGUGUCAUCCUGUCCCUUUUCCGCAGUGCUGGGAUUGAACCCAGAGCUAGGCAGGUGCUCCCCCACCUGAGCUACGAUCAGAGCCCUAAGAGAUUUCUUUCUCCUACAGCCACCUACCAUUCAAGGAAAGGCAGCUUUACCUCUUUAAAAGGGGAAGUUCUGAGGCCUUCUGCUCUUCCUGGGGUGCGGGGAGGAAUUUCCCCGGGCACUGCUAUGUCCUUAAAUAACAGAACUACCUGUGCAAACACCGCGUCCUUGCAGGGUGCUGGGCUCCUGUUAGCAGGCUCCCGACCUUUUUUUAGGUAAGCGAGUGUUAGGCAAAGCCUUCUUCUUAAUUAAUGGGUCCACCAUAGCAACCCACCCUAUGCAGCUUCUCUCCAAUCUCACACAUCACAGGACUUCCUCUGCACUCCCCAAGGAUCAAAGCUUCCUGCCAGCCAAGGAUUGUCACCAAAUCCUAAGGAUCAGGGGCUGAAUACAAGGAGAGUUCAAAGGCAGAUCCUGGAGAUCACCAAACUCACUAUGCUGCCUGGCCAGUGAGCCCCAAGGGUCUGUCUAGCUGUCUCUACCUUCCCAGUUCAGGUAUUACAAUCACACACCACUAUACCUGGCUGGUAUACUGGGAGGGGUUCUGUAGUGAACUCAGGCAUUUACCUACUGGCUAUUGCUCUCUCUCUUUUUCAUACAGGGUUUUUCUGUGUAGCCCCAGCUGUCCUGGAACUUGCUCUGUAGACCAGGCUGGCCUUGAAC